UGACCUCAAAUCAGGUAAGAAUACCCGCUGAACUUAAGCAUAUCAAUAAGCGGAGGAAAAGAAAAUAACAAUGAUUCCCUUAGUAACGGCGAGUGAAGGGGGAAAAGCUCAAAUUUUAAAUCUGCUAGGUUUUACUUAUCAGAAUUGUAAUUUGAAGAAGCGUUUUCCGCGUCUUGGUUUGACCCAAAUCCUUUGGGAUAAGGUAUCAUGGAGGGUGAGAAUCCCGUUCGGUUGACCUUAUGACGCUCUACGAUACGCUCUCUAAGAGUCGAGUUGUUUGGGAUUGCAGCUCAAAAUGGGNAGGUAAAUUUCUCCUAAGGCUAAAUAUCGGCGAGAGACCGAUAGCGAACAAGUACCGUAAGGGAAAGAUGAAAAGANACCUUGAAAAGAGAGUAAAAUAGUACGUGAAAUUGUUGAAAGGGAAACGAUUGAAGUCAGUCGUACCGACGAGAAAUCAGCUUAUCGUGUGCGAACUUGUGGGCGUGCGUGAGUUUCGGCCUCGCUGUUUGCAUGUUUGUGCGUUUUGGGUGUAUUUUUUCGUAUGGUAGGCCAACGUCAGUUUCAAUCACCAUAAAAUGACCGGCGGAAUGUAGCUUCGAUUUCGGUUGAAGUGUUAUAGCCUCUGGUAGAUGUGGUGAUUGGGACUGAGGAUUGCAACGAAUACCCUUUGGGCUAUCCGUCUGACCUCUGAAAGUUGCUCAGGUGCCGAAAGCUUGCUUACGGUCAUCUAUGAUGACGUUCAAUAGGCUAGAACGUGAUUACAUUCGUUAAGGACGUUGGCGUAAUGGCUUUAAACGACCCGUCUUGAAACACGGACCAAGGAGUCUAACAUAUA
rnacentral:rRNA from 1 species